AUGAACUGCCAAUGUUUCCUCCCUUGACUUGGGCCGCCCAGAGCGGCCCACUCUUUUCCCCCAG
rnacentral:misc_RNA from 1 species